rnacentral:rRNA from 1 species
GGUUAAGCGACUAAGCGUACACGGUGGAUGCCCAGGCAGUCAGAGGCGAUGAAGGACGUGCUAAUCUGCGUAAAGCGACGGUAAGGUGAUAUGAACCGCUACAGCCGUCGAUGUCCGAAUGGGGAAACCCGGUGCACUCUGUGCAUCAUUGCAGCAUGAAUACAUAGUGCUGCAAGGCGAACCGGGGGAACUGAAACAUCUAAGUACCCCGAGGAAAAGAAAUCAACCGAGAUUCCCCCAGUAGCGGCGAGCGAACGGGGAGCAGCCCAGAGCCUGAAUCAGCUUGUGUGUUAGUGGAAGCGUCUGGAAAGUCGCAGGGUACAGGGUGAUACUCCCGUACACAAAA